rnacentral:rRNA from 1 species
UACGGAGGGUGCGAGCGUUGUCCGGAAUCACUGGGCGUAAAGGGCGCGUAGGCGGCCCGAUAAGUAGGGGGUGAAAUCCUGCGGCUUAACCGCAGGGCUGCCUUCUAAACUGUCGGGCUAGAGCACGGUAGAGGCAGAUGGAAUUCCCGGUGUAGCGGUGGAAUGCGUAGAGAUCGGGAAGAACAUCAGUGGCGAAGGCGGUCUGCUGGGCCGUUGCUGACGCUGAUGCGCGCCAGCGUGGGGAGCAAACAGG